rnacentral:rRNA from 1 species
GGGUUGUGAGGUUAAGCGACUAAGCGUACACGGUGGAUGCCCUGGCAGUCAGAGGCGAUGAAGGACGUGCUAAUCUGCGAAAAGCGCCGGUAAGGUGAUAUGAACCGUUAUAGCCGGCGAUGUCCGAAUGGGGAAACCCAGUGUGACUCGUCACACUAUCAUUAACUGAAUCCAUAGGUUAAUGAGGCGAACCGGGGGAACUGAAACAUCUAAGUACCCCGAGGAAAAGAAAUCAACCGAGAUUCCCCCAGUAGCGGCGAGCGAACGGGGAGGAGCCCAGAGUCUGAAUCAGCUUGUGUGUUAGUGGAAGCGUCUGGAAAGUCGCGCGAUACAGGGUGACAGCCCCGUACACAAAAGCACACAGGCUGUGAGCUCGAUGAGUAGGGCGGGACACGUGGUAUCCUGUCUGAAUAUGGGGGGACCAUCCUCCAAGGCUAAAUACUCCUGACUGACCGAUAGUGAACCAGUACCGUGAGGGAAAGGCGAAAAGAACCCCGGCGAGGGGAGUGAAAAAGAACCUGAAACCGUGUACGUACAAGCAGUGGGAGCCUCUUGAUGGGGUGACUGCGUACCUUUUGUAUAAUGGGUCAGCGACUUAUAUUCUGUAGCAAGGUUAACCGAAUAGGGGAGCCGAAGGGAAACCGAGUCUUAACUGGGCGUUAAGUUGCAGGGUAUAGACCCGAAACCCGGUGAUCUAGCCAUGGGCAGGUUGAAGGUUGGGUAACACUAACUGGAGGACCGAACCGACUAAUGUUGAAAAAUUAGCGGAUGACCUGUGGCUGGGGGUGAAAGGCCAAUCAAACCGGGAGAUAGCUGGUUCUCCCCGAAAGCUAUUUAGGUAGCGCCUCGUGAAUUCAUCUCCGGGGGUAGAGCACUGUUUCGGCUAGGGGGCCAUCCCGGCUUACCAACCCGAUGCAAACUACGAAUACCGGAGAAUGUUAUCACGGGAGACACACGGCGGGUGCUAACGUCCGUCGUGAAGAGGGAAACAACCCAGACCGCCAGCUAAGGUCCCAAAGUCAUGGUUAAGUGGGAAACGAUGUGGGAAGGCCCAGACAGCCAGGAUGUUGGCUUAGAAGCAGCCAUCAUUUAAAGAAAGCGUAAUAGCUCACUGGUCGAGUCGGCCUGCGCGGAAGAUGUAACGGGGCUAAACCAUGCACCGAAGCUGCGGCAGCGACACUAUUGUGUUGUUGGGUAGGGGAGCGUUCUGUAAGCCUGCGAAGGUGGCCUGUGAGGGUUGCUGGAGGUAUCAGAAGUGCGAAUGCUGACAUAAGUAACGAUAAAGCGGGUGAAAAGCCCGCUCGCCGGAAGACCAAGGGUUCCUGUCCAACGUUAAUCGGGGCAGGGUGAGUCGACCCCUAAGGCGAGGCCGAAAGGCGUAGUCGAUGGGAAACAGGUUAAUAUUCCUGUACUUGGUGUUACUGCGAAGGGGGGACGGAGAAGGCUAUGUUAGCCGGGCGACGGUUGUCCCGGUUUAAGCGUGAAGGUGUGUGCUCCAGGCAAAUCCGGAGUGCUUUAACACUGAGGCGUGAUGACGAGGCACCACGGUGCUGAAGUAACAAAUGCCCUGCUUCCAGGAAAAGCCUCUAAGCUCCAGGUAACACGAAAUCGUACCCAAACCGACACAGGUGGUCAGGUAGAGAAUACCAAGGCGCUUGAGAGAACUCGGGUGAAGGAACUAGGCAAAAUGGUGCCGUAACUUCGGGAGAAGGCACGCUGAUAUGUAGGUGAAGCGACUUGCUCGUGGAGCUGAAAUCAGUCGAAGAUACCAGCUGGCUGCAACUGUUUAUUAAAAACACAGCACUGUGCAAACACGAAAGUGGACGUAUACGGUGUGACGCCUGCCCGGUGCCGGAAGGUUAAUUGAUGGGGUCAUCCGUAAGGAGAAGCUCUUGAUCGAAGCCCCGGUAAACGGCGGCCGUAACUAUAACGGUCCUAAGGUAGCGAAAUUCCUUGUCGGGUAAGUUCCGACCUGCACGAAUGGCGUAAUGAUGGCCAGGCUGUCUCCACCCGAGACUCAGUGAAAUUGAACUCGCUGUGAAGAUGCAGUGUACCCGCGGCAAGACGGAAAGACCCCGUGAACCUUUACUAUAGCUUGACACUGAACACUGGUCCUUGAUGUGUAGGAUAGGUGGGAGGCUUUGAAGCGUGGACGCCAGUCUGCGUGGAGCCAUCCUUGAAAUACCACCCUUUAAUGGCUGGUGUUCUAACGUGGACCCGUAAUCCGGGUUGCGGACAGUGUCUGGUGGGUAGUUUGACUGGGGCGGUCUCCUCCUAAAGCGUAACGGAGGAGCACGAAGGUCAGCUAAUCCUGGUCGGACAUCAGGAGGUUAGUGCAAUGGCAUAAGCUGGCUUGACUGCGAGCGUGACGGCGCGAGCAGGUGCGAAAGCAGGUCAUAGUGAUCCGGUGGUUCUGAAUGGAAGGGCCAUCGCUCAACGGAUAAAAGGUACUCCGGGGAUAACAGGCUGAUACCGCCCAAGAGUUCAUAUCGACGGCGGUGUUUGGCACCUCGAUGUCGGCUCAUCACAUCCUGGGGCUGAAGUAGGUCCCAAGGGUAUGGCUGUUCGCCAUUUAAAGUGGUACGCGAGCUGGGUUUAGAACGUCGUGAGACAGUUCGGUCCCUAUCUGCCGUGGGCGCUGGAGAAUUGAGGGGGGCUGCUCCUAGUACGAGAGGACCGGAGUGGACGCAUCACUGGUGUUCGGGUUGUCAUGCCAAUGGCACUGCCCGGUAGCUAAAUGCGGAAGAGAUAAGUGCUGAAAGCAUCUAAGCACGAAACUUGCCCCGAGAUGAGUUCUCCCUGAGACUUUAAGUCUCCUGAAGGAACGUUGAAGACGACGACGUUGAUAGGCCGGGUGUGUAAGCGCAGCGAUGCGUUGAGCUAACCGGUACUAAUGAACCGUGAGGCUUAACCUUACAACGCCGAAG